rnacentral:rRNA from 1 species
CGAGCGGGAACGUUCACCGUUUCUAGCGGCGGACGGGUGAGUAACGCGUGAGCACCUGCCUUUAUCAGGGGGAUAACGCAUCGAAAGAUGUGCUAAUACCGCGUAAGUUCACAUGGACAAAGGAGCAAUCCGGAUAAAGAUGGGCUCGCGUCCGAUUAGCUAGUUGGUGAGAUAACAGCCCACCAAGGCGACGAUCGGUAGCCGACCUGAGAGGGUGAUCGGCCACAUUGGAACUGAGAGACGGUCCAGACUCCUACGGGAGGCAGCAGUGGGGAAUAUUGGGCAAUGGGCGAAAGCCUGACCCAGCAACGCCGCGUGAGGGAAGAAGGGUUUCGGCUCGUAAACCUCUGUCCUAUGGGACGAAGGAAGUGACGGUACCAUAGGAGGAAGCCCCGGCUAACUACGUGCCAGCAGCCGCGGUAAUACGUAGGGGGCGAGCGUUGUCCGGAAUGAUUGGGCGUAAAGGGCGCGUAGGCGGCCUGUUAAGUCUGGAGUGAAAGUCCUGCUUUCAAGGUGGGAAUUGCUUUGGAUACUGGUGGGCUGGAGUGCAGGAGAGGAAAGCGGAAUUACCGGUGUAGCGGUGAAAUGCGUAGAGAUCGGUAGGAACACCAGUGGCGAAGGCGGCUUUCUGGACUGAAACUGACGCUGAGGCGCGAAAGCGUGGGGAGCAAACAGGAUUA